CACGUAGGGGGCAAGCGUUGUCCGGAAUCAUUGGGCGUAAAGAGCUCGUAGGCGGCUCAGUAAGUCGGGUGUGAAACCCUCAGGCUCAACCUGGGGACGCCACCCGAUACUGCUGUGGCUAGAGUCCAGUAGGGAGUGUGGAAUUCCCGGUGUAGCGGUGAAAUGCGCAGAUAUCGGGAGGAAUACCGGUGGCGAAAGCGACUCUCUGGGCCUUAACUGACGCUGAGGAGCGAAAGCAUGGGAGCGAACAGG
rnacentral:rRNA from 1 species